GAUGAACGCUGGCGGCGUGCCUAAUACAUGCAAGUCGAGCGAAUGGAUUAAGAGCUUGCUCUUAUGAAGUUAGCGGCGGACGGGAGAGUAACACGUGGGUAACCUGCCCAUAAGACUGGGAUAACUCCGGGAAACCGGGGCUAAUACCGGAUAACAUUUUUAACCGCAUGGUUCGAAAUUGAAAGGCGGCUUCGGCUGUCACUUAUGUAUGGACCCGCGUCGCAUUAGCCAGUUGGUGAGGUAACGGCUCACCAAGGCAACGAUGCGUAGCCGACCUGAGAGGGUGAUCGGCCACACUGGGACUGAGACACGGCCCAGACUCCUACGGGAGGCAGCAGUAGGGAAUCUUCCGCAAUGGACGAAAGUCUGACGGAGCAACGCCGCGUGAGUGAUGAAGGCUUUCGGGUCGUAAAACUCUGUUGUUAGGGAAGAACAAGUGCUAGUUGAAUAAGCUGACACCUUGACGGUACCUAACCAGAAAGCCACGGCUAACUACGUGCCAGCCGCCGCGGUAA
rnacentral:rRNA from 1 species